UCCAUGGAAUUUUAGGGCUGUAUAUUAAGACGACUGGAUAUCACUUGUUCGGUACCUAAAUUAGUCAACAUAUGUGGGCUUAAAAUCAUCGUUACCAGUUGCAAGGUCGUGCACGAUGCGCUCUCGGAACAUACCGUAUCGUUAUGCUGCCUGACGAGUGUUGCGAUUCGUUGUUCAAAGCGCUGAGUCAACUUUAUCGAUCGAAAAACAAGAAGACACCGAGCUACCUCCCCGCAGUCAGCGAAUUGUGGCCAUCACGUCUGAUGCCAUUGACCAUGGUGACCUGCUCGUACAACCAUCUGCACUCUGUCUCACCAGAGGGAUAGCCUUUCCAUCAGGGCUGAUGUCAGCGGAAACAAUUGGCCUCCUGGUUGUAACCGCGUAACCAGCAGUAGUUUUGGAACGGAAUCUCGACCUCCCUUAGGCCCUUAUUGCGAAGCAGUUAAUAACAGCUCUUAUCCGAAUCGUACAUGGAUCGGUUUGAAUUUGAAUAGGCGGAACUGCACAUUAUGCUGCGCUGGGAAAAACCAUUCUGGGGAUAUACACUACAAUAUAUCAUCAUUGCCGAAUUCUUUAUGUACGAAGCUGAAAAAACCAUCGACCAAGAGUCGCCAGAGAAAAAAGACAAAGAAGUAAUGUCCGCUUCAAUUCAAGAUCGCUGCGAACGAUCAUUGCAUGAAGAAGAAAUUCUUUAAAUAAAUAUGCAACAUAAGAAGUUCGCGCUAGAA